rnacentral:lncRNA from 1 species
CUCUAUCUCCACUAGUAGGCACGCUGCUGUCAAAAUUUACCUUAAGAUGACCAGGAGGUGAGGGCUCCCAAGAAACAAGGACAUACCAGGGUGCUAUAAUAGAGAAGAAAGGAUCCUAGAUGUCCCUAGCCAUUCCAAAUAAAACCGCCAUGGUAGCCUCAGUAACCUCUGCAGCCAAUGGAAAGCCUUCUCUACGACGGACCUCAAGAGUGCCCUCCUGUCCUCGAAGACUGUUGUUUUUGUCCAGUCAAAUGUGAUAAGCCAAGUAGACGGCAACAAUGCCGUACCCCGCGGUGCCUGGAGACCGCGUGGCAAACCUCACGAGCUGAAUAAGAUCUCUAGCUUACACGGCGGGCCCCAAAAAAGAGAAUAAGGCCCUCAUCCAGAUCCGUGCGCACAUGGGCACUCAAUCAGAGCAUGACUGACAGAUUCCAUCGAAUCCGAGCAGUCCACACACAUUAGAGAGACUCUGACCCCCCCUCU